GCCCCGUGUCCGAGUGGCGAGGUGAAGCUCUGCAAAAGCUUUUACAGCGGUUCGAUUCCGCUCGGGGCACCA
rnacentral:tRNA from 1 species